AGUGAACGCUGGCGGUAGGCCUAACACAUGCAAGUCGAACGGCAGCACAGUAAGAGCUUGCUCUUACGGGUGGCGAGUGGCGGACGGGUGAGGAAUACAUCGGAAUCUACUUUUUCGUGGGGGAUAACGUAGGGAAACUUACGCUAAUACCGCAUACGACCUACGGGUGAAAGCAGGGGAUCUUCGGACCUUGCGCGAUUGAAUGAGCCGAUGUCGGAUUAGCUAGUUGGCGGGGUAAAGGCCCACCAAGGCGACGAUCCGUAGCUGGUCUGAGAGGAUGAUCAGCCACACGGGAACUGAGACACGGUCCAGACUCCUACGGGAGGCAGCAGUGGGGAAUAUUGGACAAUGGGCGCAAGCCGGAUCCAGCCAUACCGCGUGGGUGAAGAAGGCCUUCGGGUUGUAAAGCCCUUUUGUUGGGAAAAAAAAGAAGCAGGUUAAUACCCCGCUGUCCUGACGGUACCCAAAGAAUAAGCACCGGCUAACUUCG
rnacentral:rRNA from 1 species